rnacentral:rRNA from 1 species
AAUCAAUGCUGGCGGCGUGCCUCAGACAUGCAAGUCGAACGAUUAAAGCUCUCUUCGGAGAGUGCAUAGAGUGGCGCACGGGUGAGUAACACGUAAGUAAUCUACCUUCGAGUGGGGAAUAACAGCCGGAAACGACUGCUAAUGCCGCAUAAUGCAGCGGCAUCGCAAGAUGACAGUUGUUAAAGGAGCAAUUCGCUUGAAGAGGAGCUUGCGGCAGACUAGCUUGUUGGUAAGGUAACGGCUUACCAAGGCUACGAUCUGUAACCGGUCUAAGAGGACGGUCGGUCACACUGACACUGAAUAACGGGGUCAGACUCCUACGGGAGGCAGCAGUCGGGAAUUUUGGGCAAUGGGCGAAAGCCUGACGCAGCGACGCCGCGUGAGGGAUGACGG